GCCAUAUCAUGUUGAAACAGCAGUUCCCAAACAAUCACCAAAGUUAAGCAACAUUGAACCUGAUCAGUACUGAGAUGGGUGACCACUUGGGAAUAUGAGGUGC